GUGCCAGCAGCCGCGGUAAUACGUAGGUGGCAAGCGUUGUCCGGAAUUAUUGGGCGUAAAGCGCGCGCAGGCGGUCCUUUAAGUCUGAUGUGAAAGCCCACGGCUCAACCGUGGAGGGUCAUUGGAAACUGGGGGACUUGAGUGCAGAAGAGGAAAGCGGAAUUCCACGUGUAGCGGUGAAAUGCGUAGAGAUGUGGAGGAACACCAGUGGCGAAGGCGGCUUUCUGGUCUGUAACUGACGCUGAGGCGCGAAAGCGUGGGGAGCAAACAGGAUUAGAUACCCUGGUAGUCC
rnacentral:rRNA from 1 species